GUCGCCGCGCGCCCUUCUGGGACUUGUAGUCUCGGCGCUGGUCGGGGCCCGCAGCCUCCGCACUGCGAGUCCUAGGAGAUGGGGACUUGGCUCAACGUCCUGGCUCGGCGCCCGGGCUUGGCGAGGUUGGUCAGGGGCUGCGUCUGUCUUCUUCACUGCUGUGGACGCAGCGAAUAGCACACAGCCAGAGAAACUUUAUAGUGAAUCAGUGAUGUUAUUGGCGAGAGCUAACGUUUAGUGAGCGCUUAGCCUGUGCCCGGCGUUGUUCUAAGCCCCUUAACCUCUCAUUAAAUGUUCUCUCAUUGAAUGAAUGAAUGACUACGUAUCAGGUACCAAAAUAUAGGCACGACAGAUGUGUUAUUAGAUAUAGACCGGGAGAUUGAGGAUACUUUUCAGAGGGGGAGGAGAUGAGGGGCGUGCUCAGAGAGUCCCAUUGCCAGGCUGGAAACGGACAGCUGGGGAGGGGGCCUUCGGGGCAGUGUAAGGUUAAGCCAGGAAUGACACCUUCACUGUACGUAAAGCCAAGCUGUGAUGGGAUCUGGUUCCUAAUGACAAAAAUCAUUGUCCCCGAGGACGCUGUGAGGACCAAGAGGGAGACCUACUGAGAACAGCUACCUCCAGCAAUGGCUCUCCUCCAGCCCCCUAGAGCUGGCACUGUCAUUCUGUGGGCCUCAGUAUCUGGGUCCGUACAAGGCAGGGGCUGGGUUGCCUGCCCACCAAGUUUCCCCCUAGUUCGGACCCACCACGACCUCCUCCCCUACACCAUGACUACAUAAGAGCCAGAAUCCAGGCUGCCCAGCUGGGUGCGGUGGCUCACACCUGUAAUCCUAGCAUUUUGAGAGGCUGAGAUGGGAGGAUUGCUUGAGGCCAGAAGUUCCAAGACCAGCCUGGUCAACCUAGCGAGACCCUAUAUCUAUGUGUAUUUAAAAAUUAAGAAUUUUGUAAAAUAAUAAAAAUAAUAGAAUCCAGGCUGCCCAUCUUUGUAGUUUAGAGAUGGUAGGUUCUUCUAAGGGGUAGUAAUUGGCCUUUGAAAGUUCACAUUCAUAACUUCUUUCUUAAGUUGGGUGGAGAGAGGGAAGCCAAUGGCGUUUUUUUUUUUUUUGGUUUUUUUGUUUUUUUUAAACAUCAAAGUGCACUGUCAGAGUGCCGAGUCCUGAUUGGUGGAAUGAUGAUGGUAUGAUUUGAUUCUCCCAAAUCAUCUUUGAAAAACUGUGAAACAUACAAUAAGCUUAUUCCUUGCCUAAUUACCGGUUGCUGGGUCCCAGGGGGUUGCUGGAACACGGAGACUAAUCAGAUGAUUCUUGUCUUUAAGGAGCAUGUGGAAGAGGGGACAGAUGAAUACCCCAUCUUCCUGCUCUCCAUCAGUCCGCCCUGGUGUGAUGUGCCUAAGCAGUUCCGAGUAAUCUUCCUGGAAAAAAUAAAUAGGCAACUGCGAUGAGUUUGUGCAAGGAUCCUAAUGGUAAUGAAUAAUAAUAACACACCACUGACAGCGAACGCUGAGUGUUCACUGCGUGCUAGGCACCAUGCAGAGGGUUUCCCCUCACAUGUACUUUAGGGGUAGAAAGAGGGACAAAGAGGAAAGUCUAUUAGGUGCAGAUCUGUGAACUCUGAAUAGGCCAUCCACCAUCUGAGACUCAGAAACCUGCAGGGACCUGGCCGAUGGGCAGGCUGCAUGCUGGCUGCACCAUGAGUCAGCACCAGACUGGGAGACGCAGCCACUCAGGGAUCCAAGGGACUCAAACAUCUGCAACCUGGCCCCAGGCCAAGAGAACAAACUGCAGGCUCCGGAUUUGCGGCCCUGUAGGAUAGGCUCAAAAUGAAACAUGUUUGUUAUUUCUAAGUGGAUGGGAACUGAAAGAACCCGAACAAUCAGUGUACAAGGAUUCAUGAAUGGACCAAACAUGCUUGCUUUUUGUUCUUGAAAGAUGUUUGUUGUAUUUAAUAUAUAACGAGAAGAGUGGUCAACGCUGACUGGGUGCUGAGCACUUUAAG
rnacentral:lncRNA from 1 species